rnacentral:ncRNA from 1 species
UUUCGUCGCUCGGGGCGCGUCCUCCGGAUGGUCGGAGGUCGCUGAGAAGCACCCGGGAACCUGAUCCGGUUCGGACCGGCGUAGGGAACGCGACGAUCGAACGAC